AUGAUGAGCUCGAGGCUAUUGCAGGAGCCGGUGAGGAUAGAGCCAAGGGUGCCAUCGCAAAACAGGAGACCAAAAGCUCCUCCAAUGGGAUACGCCAAGAUUCAUGUUAUGCUGGAUGCCAAGAGAAGUCGAGGAACAACGGCCGCAGUAUGCAGGGACAGUACAUGUGCUUUCCUCCGGAGUUCGGCGUUGGUUAUCCGCGGAGUGGAUGGUCCGGCAACGCUAGAAGCUAUAGCAUGUCGGGAAGGAAUGGCGCUCGCAGCAGACCUUCACUUAGACCAAUUCAUGAUCGUGUCGGAUGCAAAGCAAGUGGUUAAUGCCAUCCAUAAUGAAAGUCUGGGAGCUUUUGGUGCUAUAAUCAAGGAGAUCAGACUACAACAAGUUUCUUUUCGCUGUAAUUUUAUUUUUAAAGGUCGUGUGAAUAAUCUAGAAGCAGAUAGACUAGCCAAGCAUUCUUUUUCUCUGGGUCCCAGGCGCCAUAUAUGGUUGGGCCAACCCCAUAACCCGAUUUGUAUUCCACACCUUCUGGAUUUUGAUGAAUAA
rnacentral:rRNA from 1 species